UGCAGGAUGAAGGUCCUAUGGAUUGUAAACUGCUUUUGUACGGGAAGAAAUCCCUCCUCGUGAGGAGGGCUGACGGUACCGUAAGAAUAAGGAUCGGCUAACUCCGUGCCAGCAGCCGCGGUAAUACGGAGGAUCCGAGCGUUAUCCGGAAUCAUUGGGUUUAAAGGGUCCGUAGGCGGCCUUGUAAGUCAGUGGUGAAAUCUCACGGCUCAACCGUGAAAUGGCCAUUGAUACUGCGGGGCUUGAAUUAUCGGGAAGCAGCUAGAAUAUGUAGUGUAGCGGUGAAAUGCUUAGAUAUUACAUGGAAUACCGAUUGCGAAGGCAGGCUGCUACCGGUGGAUUGACGCUGAUGGACGAAAGCGUGGGGAGCGAACAGGAUUAGAUACCCUGGUAGUCCACGCCGUAAACGA
rnacentral:rRNA from 1 species